rnacentral:rRNA from 1 species
AGAACUUAGCAGAGAUGCUUUGGUGCCUUCGGGAACUCUGAGACAGGUGCUGCAUGGCUGUCGUCAGCUCGUGUUGUGAAAUGUUGGGUUAAGUCCCGCAACGAGCGCAACCCUUAUCCUUUGUUGCCAGCGGUUAGGCCGGGAACUCAAAGGAGACUGCCAGUGAUAAGCUGGAGGAAGGUGGGGAUGACGUCAAGUCAUCAUGGCCCUUACGAGUAGGGCUACACACGUGCUACAAUGGCGCAUACAAAGAGAAGCGACCUCGCGAGAGCAAGCGGACCUCAUAAAGUGCGUCGUAGUCCGGAUUGGAGUCUGCAACUCGACUCCAUGAAGUCGGAAUCGCUAGUAAUCGUGGAUCAGAAUGCCACGGUGAAUACGUUCCCGGGCCUUGUACACACCGCCCGUCACACCAUGGGAGUGGGUUGCAAAAGAAGUAGGUAGCUUAACCUUCGGGAGGGCGCUUACCACUUUGUGAUUCAUGACUGGGGUGAAGUCGUAACAAGGUAAGCGUAGUGCU